UCUCUAAUAGCUCAAUUGGUUAGAGCUUUCGACUGUUAAUCGGGUGGUUAUUGGUUCAAAUCCAAUUUAGGGAG
rnacentral:tRNA from 1 species